AUAAUUUUACCUUCAUCCCCAGCACUCCCCUAACUGAUGUGUGAUCUCUCAUCAAAGUAUGAGAAUCACCCCAUCAAGCUGGUUUGACCUAACGACUGCUUGCCAUAGCCGCAAGGUGGCCUUCCCCGUAUUACAGAACAUCUGCAUCCAAUCCCUUUAAAAACUCUCUGUGCUUCGCUUCCUCCCUCCCACAGACAGUGGCUGAGAACAGACUUUGUACUUUGUGCUGGGUGGGAUGUCUAAGUCAUAGACUUUAACCUCCAAGAGCUUACGUACUGGUCAGGAAGUUGGCGCAUGUGCUGAAACACAAUAAUUCAGAAAUCUGAAAACAAGGGGGAUACUAGCCUCACAGACAGCAGCAUUAAAUGCUAGAGGCUUCAGGAGAUGGAGAGCUACUUUCUGGCCACAGUAAAUCAAGGAAAGCUUCUAGGAAGAGGUCACACCUGAGCUGUUCCUGGCAGUAUGGGCUGGACUUCAGAGAGGGCAGCAAACAGGUAUUCUGGCCCAUGGGCCCAAUGAGACUGAGACAAAGAAGGAGGGCAGUUUAACGACCAGCAAAUAGUCACAUGGGGUUUGGGCAAAAGAAUACUUUCUUUUUUUAGAAAGGAUCCUUGUUGAAAGAACUUUACAAAGUACUAGCAAGUUUAGUAGCAGGAAUAACUAAUUAUCUGCCUAAGCCCAACUACACAGUAGAAAGAUGUAUUUGUUUAACCACCUAACCCAACUGUGAAGAGAAUGGGGUGGGGGGGGACGGAGUAGAAGGAGCCCUGAAAAUCAGAAAACCUGGGUCCGAGGCCCAGCUUUGCUAACGAAGGGCUCCAGCAGCCACAGCAAGUCAUUUAACCUCGUUGGUCUCAGUUUUCUCAUUUGUAAGCUGAAGCAGCUGAACUGGCUGACCUGGAAGGUCUCUGCAGUCCAGAACUAAACGAACUGUAUAUUAUUUCUGCCAUUAAAACAUUCAUCGUGGGGGGUGGAGGGAAAGUCAGGUAACAUAUUCCCUUUCCAUGCAGGUUUCUGUUCUUGAACUAAAAAUUUCUUUUUCCUGAACUUACUAAUUCUAUGUAUAUGCUUCCCAUGUCAUAAAUUUAAAAUAACCUAAAUAAUGUUCUGUGUGUGUGUGCGUGUGUGCACGCACGCGCUCCUCGAGGCCUAAAAUUUUGUUUAUGGCUCACAGGUUAUCCAAGAAAGUUGUGCGGUACAGCCUUAGCUUUGUAGGAGUGUAACCAAUACCGCAGCGCCAGGAGAAAAUACCUCUGUAUAAGCCACAAAAUGUUGACAGAGGCGCCCUGCUCCCGGAAAGACACCAAACCCAGAAACCACGGAUGCGAUUUCACUCCAGCCCUAUUGAUCUUAGGCACCAAAAGGCGAACAAACCCGGCACGCUGUUGAAGCGAAACAGGCUGGAUCAAAAAACUGCUGCUGUAGCAGCAGCCACCCACCCGAAGUUUAUGAUAGAGAAGAAAACAGCAAAGUUAACAAAAUGCCUAACUUUACACAGGGAAUCAUAACACAGUUAUUAGGUUUACUUUGUAAGCAGCAUAUACCGGUGUACACAACUUAAACACCUUCCCGAAAAGGGCAGAAGAGCACCAGGACGCCGGCGGGCAGCCUCCUCCAGAGCGGCGGGGGGGAAACCUGGAGAGACUCCCCUUAUGCCGCUGUGCGCCAGCGACGAAGUGAAGCUUUGUGCUGCGCCUGUGGGUCCAGCCCCGCCUCGGUUACCCCACCGCCAGCCCCCGUACCUCCAGCGGUUGUACUGCCAGCGCCCGCAGGUCCACUCUGCAGCUACCUCGCUGCGCUCUCCUGCGGCGCUCAGGCCACUGCGCAUGCCCGGCCAGCACCUAGGGCCAACAAACUCGGAAUCCACUUGCCGGGUUUUGGCAGCAGCUCCCAAGGAAAAGGACCGGAUCCUUGAGGGUGGGUUCAGCUGGAGCGUGCAGGGAGCGGCCAGGGGGACUAUUGGAUGAGCGAUGCGGAAACGUUACCCCUGCUGCCCAGGUACGCAACAUUUACGCCUCUCCCAGCCUAAAG